GUGCUUACUUCAGCAGCCCAUAUACUAAAAUUGGAAUGAUACAGAGAAGAUUAUCAAGGCCCCUGCUUAAUAAAGAUGACAUACAAAUUUGUGAAGCAUUUCAUAUUUUG